AGGUUGAAGUUUCACAAGCUCACUUAUGAAUUACCCUUUUAACUCAGUAAUCAACCUCAAUGGGCAUCCGAUAAGCUUUGUUAGCCACCAUCUCAAAGUACGGGGUACUACAAUACUACUUGUCACAACACGGUACUCUCCUCGAGCCCGUGACAACCGCCGCGAUGUCGCGAUAGACAUUCAUCGCCCGAAAUGCCGACCGAAACCUCGCAAGGCUUUUAUAUCAGUUUUUCUCACCUCCCCUGUGAGCGACAGUUGUUAAAUAUCA
rnacentral:lncRNA from 1 species